rnacentral:rRNA from 1 species
AGUGAACGCUGGCGGUAGGCCUAACACAUGCAAGUCGAACGGCAGCACAGUAAGAGCUUGCUCUUACGGGUGGCGAGUGGCGGACGGGUGAGGAAUACAUCGGAAUCUACUUUUUCGUGGGGGAUAACGUAGGGAAACUUACGCUAAUACCGCAUACGACCUACGGGUGAAAGCAGGGGAUCUUCGGACCUUGCGCGAUUGAAUGAGCCGAUGUCGGAUUAGCUAGUUGGCGGGGUAAAGGCCCACCAAGGCGAGGAUCCGUAGCUGGUCUGAGAGGAUGAUCGGCCACACUGGAACUUGAACAGGGUCCAGACUCCUACGGGAGGCAGCAGUGGGGAAUAUUGGACAAUGGGCGCAAGCCUGAUCCAGCCAUACCGCGUGGGUGAAGAAGGCCUUCGGGUUGUAAAGCCCUUUUGUUGGGAAAGAAAAGCAGCAGGUUAAUACCCCGCUGUUCUGACGGUACCCAAAGAAUAAGCACCGGCUAACUUCGUG